CAGCAGCCGCGGUAACACGGAGGGUGCAAGCGUUAAUCGGAAUUACUGGGCGUAAAGCGCACGCAGGCGGUCUGUCAAGUCAGAUGUGAAAUCCCCGGGCUUAACCUGGGAACUGCAUUUGAAACUGUCAGGCUGGAGUCUUGUAGAGGGGGGUAGAAUUCCAGGUGUAGCGGUGAAAUGCGUAGAGAUCUGGAGGAAUACCGGUGGCGAAGGCGGCCCCCUGGACAAAGACUGACGCUCAGGUGCGAAAGCGUGGGGAGCAAACAGGAUUAGAUACCCCUGUAGUCCCUGUCUCUUAUAC
rnacentral:rRNA from 1 species